rnacentral:rRNA from 1 species
GGGGGGGGGGGGGGGGGGGGGGGGGAGGGGGGAGGCGGGGGGGGGCGCAGGGGGAGGUUGCUCGUACGGGUGGCGAGUGGCUGACGGUGGAGUAAUCCGUCGGGAUGGACUUUUUAGUGUGGUAUGACUUAGGGAAGCUUACGAGCAUACCUGCUCCGACCUACGUGUGAACGCAGGGACUCUUCUGACCUUGCACUAUUGCCUUAUCCGAUGUCUGAUUAGCUAGUUGGCGGGGUCAAGGCCCACCACGGCGACGAUCCGUAGCUGGUCUGAUAGGAUGAGCAGCAACACUGGAAUUGAGACAAGGUCCAGACUCCUACGGGAGGCAGCAGUGGGGAAUAUUGGACAAUGGGAGCAAGCCUGAUCCAGCCAUACCGCGUGGGUGAAGAAGGCCUUCGGGUUGUAAAGACCUUUUGUUGGGAAAGAAAAGCAGCAGGUUAAUACCCCGCUGUUCUGACGGUACCCAAAGAAUAAGCACCGGCUAACUUCGUG